rnacentral:rRNA from 1 species
GACGAACGCUGGCGGCGUGCUUAACACAUGCAAGUCGAACGGGCCCGCCCCUGUUUUUGGGGGGGGGUUGAGUGGCGAACGGGUGAGUAUCACGUGAGUAACCUGCCCCCUGCUCCUGGAUAACUGCUUGAAAGGGCGGCUAAUACGGGGUGUGCCGGCUGGUCCGCAUGGGCCUGGUCGGGAUAGUUUCAUCUUCGGGGGUUUCGGUGGGGGGUGGGCUCGCGGCCUAUCAGCUUGUUGGUGGGGUGAUGGCCCACCAAGGCGGUGACGGGUAGCCGGCCUGAGAGGGUGGGCGGCCACACUGGGACUGAGACACGGCCCAGACUCCUGCGGGAGGCAGCAGUGGGGGGUAUUGCACAAUGGGCGGAAGCCUGAUGCAGCGACGUCGCGUGAGGGAUGGAGGCCUUCGGGUUGUGAACCUCUUUCUCCGGUGGUGAAGGCCCUGUCCGUUGCGGCGGGGUUGACGGUAGCCGGGUAUGAAGCGCCGGCUAACUACGUG